rnacentral:rRNA from 3 species
UUAAGCGACUAAGCGUACACGGUGGAUGCCCUGGCAGUCAGAGGCGAUGAAGGGCGUGCUAAUCUGCGAUAAGCGCCGGUAAGGUGAUAUGAACCGUUAUAACCGGCGAUACCCGAAUGGGGAAACCCAGUGUGACUCGUCACACUAUCAUUAACUGAAUCCAUAGGUUAAUGAGGCGAACCGGGGGAACUGAAACAUCUAAGUACCCCGAGGAAAAGAAAUCAACCGAGAUUCCCCCAGUAGCGGCGAGCGAACGGGGAGGAGCCCAGAGCCUGAAUCAGCAUGUGUGUUAGUGGAAGCGUCUGGAAAGGCGCGCGAUACAGGGUGACAGCCCCGUACACAAAAGCGCAUGUGCUGUGAGCUCGAUGAGUAGGGCGGGACACGUGGUAUCCUGUCUGAAUAUGGGGGGACCAUCCUCCAAGGCUAAAUACUCCUGACUGACCGAUAGUGAACCAGUACCGUGAGGGAAAGGCGAAAAGAACCCCGGCGAGGGGAGUGAAAAAGAACCUGAAACCGUGUACGUACAAGCAGUGGGAGCACCCUUUGGGUGUGACUGCGUACCUUUUGUAUAAUGGGUCAGCGACUUAUAUUCUGUAGCAAGGUUAACCGAAUAGGGGAGCCGGAGGGAAACCGAGUCUUAACCGGGCGUUAAGUUGCAGGGUAUAGACCCGAAACCCGGUGAUCUAGCCAUGGGCAGGUUGAAGGUUGGGUAACACUAACUGGAGGACCGAACCGACUAAUGUUGAAAAAUUAGCGGAUGACCUGUGGCUGGGGGUGAAAGGCCAAUCAAACCGGGAGAUAGCUGGUUCUCCCCGAAAGCUAUUUAGGUAGCGCCUCGUGAAUUCAUCUCCGGGGGUAGAGCACUGUUUCGGCUAGGGGGCCAUCCCGGCUUACCAACCCGAUGCAAACUGCGAAUACCGGAGAAUGUUAUCACGGGAGACACACGGCGGGUGCUAACGUCCGUCGUGAAGAGGGAAACAACCCAGACCGCCAGCUAAGGUCCCAAAGUCAUGGUUAAGUGGGAAACGAUGUGGGAAGGCCCAGACAGCCAGGAUGUUGGCUUAGAAGCAGCCAUCAUUUAAAGAAAGCGUAAUAGCUCACUGGUCGAGUCGGCCUGCGCGGAAGAUGUAACGGGGCUAAACCAUGCACCGAAGCUGCGGCAGCGACACUGUGUGUUGUUGGGUAGGGGAGCGUUCUGUAAGCCUGCGAAGGUGGCCUGUGAGGGUUGCUGGAGGUAUCAGAAGUGCGAAUGCUGACAUAAGUAACGAUAAAGCGGGUGAAAAGCCCGCUCGCCGGAAGACCAAGGGUUCCUGUCCAACGUUAAUCGGGGCAGGGUGAGUCGACCCCUAAGGCGAGGCCGAAAGGCGUAGUCGAUGGGAAACGGGUUAAUAUUCCCGUACUUGGUGUUACUGCGAAGGGGGGACGGAGAAGGCUAUGUUGGCCGGGCGACGGUUGUCCCGGUUUAAGCGUGUAGGUGUGUGUUCCAGGUAAAUCCGGUUCACUUUAACACUGAGGCGUGACGACGAGGCACUACGGUGCUGAAGCAACAAAUGCCCUGCUUCCAGGAAAAGCCUCUAAGCAUCAGGUAACAUCAAAUCGUACCCCAAACCGACACAGGUGGUCAGGUAGAGAAUACCAAGGCGCUUGAGAGAACUCGGGUGAAGGAACUAGGCAAAAUGGUGCCGUAACUUCGGGAGAAGGCACGCUGACACGUAGGUGAAGUGAUUUACUCAUGGAGCUGAAGUCAGUCGAAGAUACCAGCUGGCUGCAACUGUUUAUUAAAAACACAGCACUGUGCAAACACGAAAGUGGACGUAUACGGUGUGACGCCUGCCCGGUGCCGGAAGGUUAAUUGAUGGGGUCAGCGCAAGCGAAGCUCCUGAUCGAAGCCCCGGUAAACGGCGGCCGUAACUAUAACGGUCCUAAGGUAGCGAAAUUCCUUGUCGGGUAAGUUCCGACCUGCACGAAUGGCGUAAUGAUGGCCAGGCUGUCUCCACCCGAGACUCAGUGAAAUUGAACUCGCUGUGAAGAUGCAGUGUACCCGCGGCAAGACGGAAAGACCCCGUGAACCUUUACUAUAGCUUGACACUGAACAUUGAGCCUUGAUGUGUAGGAUAGGUGGGAGGCUUUGAAGUGUGGACGCCAGUCUGCAUGGAGCCGACCUUGAAAUACCACCCUUUAAUGUUUGAUGUUCUAACGUGGACCCGUUACCCGGGUUGCGGACAGUGUCUGGUGGGUAGUUUGACUGGGGCGGUCUCCUCCUAAAGAGUAACGGAGGAGCACGAAGGUUGGCUAAUCCUGGUCGGACAUCAGGAGGUUAGUGCAAUGGCAUAAGCCAGCUUGACUGCGAGCGUGACGGCGCGAGCAGGUGCGAAAGCAGGUCAUAGUGAUCCGGUGGUUCUGAAUGGAAGGGCCAUCGCUCAACGGAUAAAAGGUACUCCGGGGAUAACAGGCUGAUACCGCCCAAGAGUUCAUAUCGACGGCGGUGUUUGGCACCUCGAUGUCGGCUCAUCACAUCCUGGGGCUGAAGUAGGUCCCAAGGGUAUGGCUGUUCGCCAUUUAAAGUGGUACGCGAGCUGGGUUUAGAACGUCGUGAGACAGUUCGGUCCCUAUCUGCCGUGGGCGCUGGAGAACUGAGGGGGGCUGCUCCUAGUACGAGAGGACCGGAGUGGACGCAUCACUGGUGUUCGGGUUGUCAUGCCAAUGGCACUGCCCGGUAGCUAAAUGCGGAAGAGAUAAGUGCUGAAAGCAUCUAAGCACGAAACUUGCCCCGAGAUGAGUUCUCCCUGAGACUUAGAGUCUCCUGAAGGAACGUUGAAGACGACGACGUUGAUAGGCCGGGUGUGUAAGCGCAGCGAUGCGUUGAGCUAACCGGUACUAAUGAACCGUGAGGCUUAACCUU